rnacentral:lncRNA from 1 species
UUUCAGAUGUGCCCAAAGGGGACUCUCAGACACUGGGGACACAAGGUGGAUGAGCUUUUGUCUGUGAGCUGCAGCUUGAAGAUCCUCCUCUUCAAAAGUGAGCCUUUUCUUUCCCAAACAGAACACUGCAGACCAACUCUGUAUACGAUGAUGUGUUGAGUUUGUGUAAUCCAACAUUAAUCCUUCUUUGAAGUGAAUAUUUUAAAAGUGGCCAAUUGGAAGAGGCAGACAGCAAGCCCAUGUAAGCCAUGGGCUUUUCUUGUGUGGGAGGUCAUUUUACUGCCUGCAUGCAUGUUUUCACAUUAAGUCAGUUUCAAUGAUUCUUUUAUAACCGAAAAAAAACAAACAAAGAAAGAACCCAACUACUCGUCAUUUCAAACGAUCAUUUGUCAGUUUUCUUUCUAAGGCAUGAAACUUCUAUACUAUUUUAGGGUUUCUAGACUCAAGAUUUAAAAAAAAAAGUUUCUCCUAAAAUGGUCGUUAGAUUAAAUUAUUUUGGCUUCUUAUGUUCAUCCUAAAGAGUGUUCACCCUCUUUGUCAGACCUUUGCUUCUGGUUAGAAAUGCCCUGUCUUUUACAAGUUUAGAACAGUUAGACAAAUAUUUAUUAAACAGAACUAAGGAGCCUGACUUAGGAUAUGUCAUUGUCUUUGAAUAAGAACACUCUGGCUGUAAAAUAGUAAAUGAUUAGUGACUCCUAUUUGUGAGGUACCAUAUAAGAAAUACGGUGCAGAGAGCAGAUUGGGAAAGGUUUAAGAUCUGAGUACUUCGAACUGCUAUUUUAACACCUUACUUUUCCUUUAAUAUAUGCAUGCUAAUCGUCUGUCCUUCUCUCAUCCCUGUAUAUCUUAUACCCACCAGCUUUACUACUAAAAUCAUAUUGCUUUUGAAAGUGUCGGUUGAGUUAUCCCUUGUCUUGUUAGUAUCGUGUUUGAUUUCUUGGACACAGACACAAAUCACCAUGUAAUAUGCAGGUCUUUUGAAGAUGCACCCAAGGUUUAUUGCCAGUAACAGACUAGUGGCCUUAUGUGGACUUUCCGUGAAUAAAACAGAUUGAUGAGCCAUUUUAUAGCAUUGCAAGCUGUAUUAUAAAUAUAUCACCCUUUUCAGUAAUUUAACGUGAGAAACAGCCUAAUGAGCUCCCGGCCACGAUCACUCAGAGAGCUGGGAGUUCUGUGUAGCUUCUAGGACAAGGGACCAGCGGAGAGUGAGAAGUCCAAACCCUAUAACAUUUUCUUCAGCUCAGUGACACAAUCUUUGUAAUUAGAACCAUUUGAAAUAGCAGUUAAAUCUAGAGUCUGUCAGAAGUAAAGGGAAAUAGAAAGUCGUUCUUAUUUUUCUUGUUGCUGGAAGCCUCAGGUUUUUGAAAGUCAUUCACUUUUCUUUCUUUUUUUUUCUCCCAUUUUCUUUUAACUAGUUGAAGUUAUUAACAAUAACGGAUAAAAAAACAUUAGAAAUAUACCUAGUCAAAAUUUACCUGAUAGCUUAGAAGAUGGACAAUUAGAUAUACUUAACACUGUAAGGAUCUUUAAAAUAUAUCUUUUAUUCUGUAUAGUAGACACCAGUGUUUAAACAACCCACAGAAUCACAUCACUGCGAUUCUCUAAUGGUUCAGAAAGCACACAAGACUGUGGUGCUCCAAACAUCAUUUUGUGCAUGGGUUCACUACCUGGAAGCUGCUGUCUGAUUAAUCUAGAGUGUAUUUCCUUUCUCGGAAUGCAGUUGGUAAUGCUAUGCAACCCUUGUCUGUGUAUACCAGUUACAUCUGUAUUAUAUAUUUAUAGAGUAAAACUAAAGUGUCAUUGUUUACAAAUAUAAUUGCCAAAUACCUUCAUAAAAUCCAUCAAAUAAUUUUUCCAAGUAUCCUUAUCUAUUAUGAAAGCAAACUCUUGGCAGACUCUCAUUUUCAUACUCCAGACAGUGUACACAGGGCGAGUACAGAAUUGAAGAGGCUUUAAUUAGGCUUUACAGACUAGGUUAAAGCAAAUAUGUUACCACAGGGACAUAAACAUACCAGCGAGGACCUAACCUGCCUGGCCCAGUCCUACACUCACUCACAUACAAUAUGCCUCAGAUUG